UUGCUUCUGUAGCACACAAAGUAAAAUUGGAAAAAAUGAACAGAGAAGAUUGAUGUGGUCGCUGUGCAAGAAUGACAUACAAAUUUCUUACAUUUAAUAUUUUUAU